rnacentral:SRP_RNA from 1 species
GCUGGGCGUGGUGGCGCAUGCCUGUAGUCCCAGCUACUUAGGAGGCUGAGGUGGGAGGAUCACUUGAGCCCGGGAGGUCAAGGCUGCAGUGAGCCAUGAUCACACCACUGCACCCCAGCCUGGGUGACAGAGUGAGACCCUGUCUCAA